rnacentral:rRNA from 1 species
GAUGAACGCUGGCGGUAUGCUUAACACAUGCAAGUCGAACGGACUCUUCGGAGUUAGUGGCGGACGGGUGAGUAACGCGUGAGAAUCUGGCUUUGGGUUCGGGACAACCACUGGAAACGGUGGCUAAUACCGGAUGUGCCGAGAGGUAAAAGAGAAAUUGCCUGAAGAUGAGCUCGCGUCUGAUUAGCUAGUUGGUGAGGUAAAGGCUCACCAAGGCAGCGAUCAGUAGCUGGUCUGAGAGGAUGACCAGCCACACUGGGACUGAGACACGGCCCAGACUCCUACGGGAGGCAGCAGUGGGGAAUUUUCCGCAAUGGGCGAAAGUCUGACGGAGCAAUACCGCGUGAGGGAAGAAGGCUCUUGGGUUGUAAACCUCUUUUCUUAGGGAAGAACAAAAUGACGGUACCUAAGGAAUCAGCAUCGGCUAACUCCGU